rnacentral:rRNA from 1 species
GACGGGGGGUCCUAGCGUUGUUCGGAAUUAUUGGGCGUAAAGCGUGCGUAGGUGGCUAUGUAAGUCAGGAGUGAAAGCCCUGGGCUCAACCCAGGAAGUGCUUUUGAUACUGCAUAGCUUGAAUGUGGGAGAGGAUAGUGGAAUUCCAGGUGUAGUGGUGAAAUACGUAGAUAUCUGGAGGAACACCGGUGGCGAAGGCGGAUCUCUGGGCCUUACCUGACGCUCAGGUGCGAAAGCUAGGGGAGCGAACAGG